GAGUUCACUGCGAAAGUUAUUAUUUGUGAACAUAGGGAUGGCAUCAACCAGGUGUGAAGAACUACUAAGUGACAAAGAACCUUUGCAUAUAUCAGCCCCCACCUCUCCUCCCCCCAUUUCUAUCCUCACUGCUUCCCUUUCUAAACAAGCCCCCCCCUCCCCCUCUCUGAUCCGCUCCUGGCCUUCCUCGCACCGUUCCCCAUGGGAUGAGUCUUGUGAGGUCACAGCCCGCCUCUACUCCUCGCUGCAACUCACCCGAGAUCUCCAGGCCAAAGGUCAACCAUCACCAGGCCACACUCACAGACAGGUGUCAUUUCAGUUUUCUUCUCNNNNNNNNNNNNUGUGUGUGGAGCGUGACGGGCUGCAUCUACAUGCCCAGGAAGCCCAGACUGCUCUGACCUGCCUCCAGGAGCAAACAGCCAAUGAGAGAAGAUCGCUGGAGGACCAGACAGUCCAGCUAGCCAAUCAACUACAAGAGGAAAGGGUGGGUUUGUCUCUCCUGUCCAACAUUUUGGAAUGUCCGUUUAAAUCAUUCAACUGA
rnacentral:lncRNA from 13 species